GUUGAAAGAUUUCCUAUGUCACUCAUAAGUGAUCCAAUUGCUUACACAAGUGAUGAUCCAAGAGAACUAUAUAACAACAUUCUUAUUUUUAUUGUAAAAGGAGAUCCAAAGAACAAGAAUCAUUCUCCAUCUGAAAUGCAUAUAUUUCAAUGUGCACGUGUUAAAGCACAUGAAAUAGUUGAUGAAAUGAAGAUGUUUAUGAGUGGCAAAUGGAAAAGAGGGUAACAA